AAUGCCACUCGGUCACGUUGUAGAGUCCGUUUUAUAUACGUGACUGGUUUUGGCAUCGGGAUAAACUGGCCACGUCGAGUAGGUUGGAAGCGCCUGUGCAGUUGCAUUUUGCAUACGGAUCCCUGAUGCUUGGUGACAUUGAGCUCAUUUCAUGUGCCUUUUGGCCAUUUGUGUAUCUUCCUGGGGAAACGUGUACUCACGUUCUUUGUCUGUUAUUUAGUUGUAUUGUCUGUCUUUAUAAUGCCUUUUAAAAAAUUUGCUGUUAUAAUGAGUUUUUAGAAACCUGUUCUGAUCACAAACCUCGUAUCAGCUGUGUGACUAGCAAACCCCCGCUUGCGCCCCAGCCGAGGGGUGCUGCCUCCGUUGUCGCUGAUGUAGCCGGGAUUCUGCGUCCUUGGAUUUUGGGAACGUGUCUUUUGUUAAAGCAACUUUUGAUGAUUUUAUCAUAAUGGUUGGUCUUUAUUUCAGUGCUGUGGUUCCUCGCAUAUUGCUCCAAAGAUUGAGGCAGUUCCUGUGACAGAUAUGUCUAAGAGGUGAAGCCUUCUAAGAAGGAAGAAACCAAAGAAGGCUUCUUUGCCUGAUGUCCAGCCUUUUAGUGACAAGGAAUUGCUGGCCUAUGUGGUCUUUGAGGACGUGGCUGUGAACUUCACCCCGGCCGAGUGGGCUUUGCUGGAUAGAGGUCAGAGGAAGCUCUACAGAGAUGUGAUGCUGGAGACAUGCAGGCACCUGGCCGCCGUGG